CGCAUCUCACGGCUUGACGAUCAAGGGGGCAAAGCCUCGGUCUUCAUAGAAAAGGAGAGGAGGCAAACGCAGCCCAAACUGGGGGGUUUCUCUUCAAAGCCAGCUGGUCUGGCUUUAUUCUACAGGAAUUUUUUUACCUGUCAGGGUUUGGACAACAAAGCCCUCAGCAGGUGCUGACGGGUACAACUUCCUGGAGAAGCAGAAAGGCACUGAGAAAACAUCUUGCUCUGUUGCUCAGGCUGGAGCGCAAUGGUGCCAUCGUAGCUUACUGUAACCUUGAACGUCUGUGCUCAAGCAAUCUUCCUGCCUCAGCCUCCUGAGUAGCUGGGACUACAGGUAUGCAUCACAAUGCCCAGCGAAUUAAAAACAACCUUUUUUUUUUUUUUUUUAAGAGAUGGGGUCUCACUCUGUCACCUAAAUUGGAGAGCAGUGGCACUGUCAUAGCUCACUGUGGCCUUGAAGUUCUGGGCUGAAGCAAUCCUUCUGCCUCAGCUUCCUGAGUGGCUGGGACUACAGGCAUGAACCACUACAUUCGGCUAAUUUUAAUUUUUUUUUGUAGAGACAGGGUCUUGUUCUAUUGUCCAAGCUGGUCUUGAAUUCCUGACCUCAAGCAAUCCUCCUGCCUCUGCCUCCCAAAGCACUGGGAUUAUUACAGGUAUGAGCCACCGCACUGGGCCGUCAUGCUUACUCUUCGGAGAGAGAAGUGAAGUAUCUGAACGCCUCAGCCUGAGAAUGGGUCAUUUGCAAAGUAAAUAAAGGCAAUGCCAAACGUCAGUACAACAAGCAAUUGAACAGAAUGAUUGCAAACUGCUAAUGAAGGAGAAGGCAAGGUGCGGUUAGGAUGAACUGUAGAAGGACCCGUCCCCUAGAGCUCAUUGAGCAUCCACCCUGCUGUCCGGCUGUCCUCUCCAUAGGGGGCUCGAUGGUCUUUGCCGACUUGAGGAAAUAGGUCACUGUAUUGCAGCAGAUCCUUGGUCGUGGGGCUGGGUUGGUCAUUGCCACUAUUUUAUGGGAUGGGGAAUUUGGAAG
rnacentral:lncRNA from 1 species